ACAGAGCUGGCUGGGCAGCCUCAUGCUGGAGCCCAGGGGAACAGCCUGAAGGCUGGGAGAACUGACAGGCCAUUUCCAAGCCCCAGGUGAGGCUACUCUUUAAAGACAGGCAUUUUACUUGCAGCAAAAUGUAAGUACAUUUCCUCCUUGAAAUAGUAUCUACUUCUCAGCUGUAAUUCCUAAAGCCUCCUAAUCUUUAAGGCUCCCAUCUCACAUUGCUGCAUUUUUAAAGUCUGGCUCAACACACACAGCCAAUCUAACAUUUCAUACUAUUGAUUUGUAUAACAUCAUGGAACAUUUCAGAAACCAUUUUGGAAGCAGAUUGAACUUAAUUGUGGUUGUGACAAUAUUGCAUCUAAAGCUAGAUAAAAGUGAGGAGUAAAAAAAUAGGCAAUAUUCAUUUAUAUAUUAUGACCAUGUGACACUAAACAUUUAAAUAUUCAGUUCUCUCAAAUGACUAAUUUAUUACUCUUUUCCCAGUUGCUCCUCACCGUGUAGUCACAGACUGUUUCUCGUUUACAUGGUAGUAACCUUAAUAAUUCCUUCGUGUGUGUACUGUGUUAUGGCCACUCGGUAAACCAGUAUUCUCUCCAGAACUAAUCUCCUGUGUAUUAUGUUUCUUUAUUCUUAGUACUUCCAGCGUCUAUACCCAAAUUACAAAUCCCCUCUAUUCUGAAAGACCAAAUAAAAUUAUAGCAGAUCUGAACUGGGAGUUCUGA
rnacentral:sRNA from 1 species